ensembl:lncRNA
AUUCCAAAGCACCAGGGAACAGGACCACUCUUUUCAGUGGAGGGUAACAGGCCUGAUCUCUGUUUUCACCCCUUCCAGCCUCUUCCUCUUGGGAGGAGAAGUGACUUUUUCUCUGACGCCUUUGGGAGAACAUCACCCCUUCUACCUUCUCCUUUGAAAGAAUUCUGGACAGCUCUCCAGCCAGGCAGAAAUGCUUGUACAUGUCCAGUGAAGACCAGGACUGUAUCGGGAUGUUCCUCACUGUCCUCUGCACUCACCACAUUUGGAGGAAGGAGAGUAAGUGAUGUUUACUCUUGGAAGGAUGAGAUCAUCCAGUGCAAGUUAAGUAGAGGGAGAGAUGAAGAGGCCAAGUCUGGAAAACAUAGCCUUCAAGGGUGUGGUUCGCACACUGUACUUCCCAGAGCACCGGGAUCUAGAGAGAUCCCUUCAGGGCUUCCAGGAGAGGAGACCAGGGAACAAAUCACCACUAGCUCCCAGAACCACCACCUCUGUUUCAACCACUGCAGUUGUGAUUUUCUGCUCUUUAUAUGAGGCUUGCUGCUGCUGCUGCUAAGUUGCUUCAGUCAUGUCCUGACUCUGUGCGAACCCAUAGAGGGCAGCCCACCAGGCUCCCCCAUCCCUGGGACUCUCCAGGCAAGAACACUGGAGUGGGUUGCCAUUUCCUUCUCCUUAGGUAUACAUAAAUUUCACUUGUUAAAAAAAAAAAGUUUCCACUACAAAAAAAAUAGUUUGAAAACCAGUGAUAUAAAGAAUGAACAUAGAAAAGAGCAAUUCACAAAGGGGAGUGCGGACGACCUGCCAAAACACAAGAGGAAGGAGGAAUGUUUGCAAACUAGGAAGACUCAGAAAUGGAAAUUUUCAAGAGGGAGGGACAGACAAAGGCACCCCAGGCUGGAGGGAAAGCAGGUACAUGGGCUGCAGAUAGAAGAGUGACCAGUGGGUCAGUUGACACUGUGAUCCUGGCAGAGGGCUGAGCAACAAGCCCACAUGGCCGUGGGUGAAGAAGUGAGUUAAGAAGCGAAGAAGGUUAGACAGUGUGGACCUCACCGUGCAGAAGGUGAUAGAGAGGAAGGUAUCGUUUCCCAAUGCCUUCAAGCUGUCAAAUGGAUCCACACACCAAGGAAAUUCAGUCUCUGCAAUGUGCUGGGCAAUUAAGUGUGCUUCAUGGUAGAAAGGGAGAAAUCCUUCAAACAGAGUGGCAGAAAUAGGGGCAGCAGAGGCAAGCGGGAGUGAGUACCAAGACAUGUCCUAGGCGUCUUUCCUGGAAGGGCAAGGUGGGGCUUUUUUGUUUCUGUUCUUCCAUGUUAAAGAGAACAUUCAUCUUUCUAGGAAGUCCAGGUGUCAGGUAGGAGUUGCCAUUAACAAGGCCUCCUCUGUCUCUAGCAUAGUGACGACUGUCAGACCAGCAGGGGAGAAUGGCUCCCCCUUCCCCCAUAUUUCAUGUCCCUCUGGCAGCAAGGACAUACACGUUAUGGACUGGCUGCCUAAUGGUCCCUGGAAGUCAAUGACGUGACACCAUUAGUGUUGGGGACCUCAGAGGGACCUCUGCCUUCCUGCUUAGGGAAAAACACUGGAAAGAAUCAGAAAGCAACAGCUAGACAGAACAAAAACUUCUGAAGUGAAGAAACACUGGAAAAGCAGUAGGGGAAAAAAUUAAGAAUCUCACGUGUCAUUUCGCUAAGGGCGGUUCUGACAUUCAAAUUAUGUUUGACCUCCUCACACAAGGGCACGGAAAGGAGACAGAAACAUUUGCACAGCCUUCUGAACUCUGCAGGAGAAACGACCUCCAAGAGGCACUUCAGAUCACUAGAAGGAACCAAGAUCCCUGCUUUCUAGCCCCAGCUCUGAUCUUAUGCGUGACCCUGCUCUCCACCAGUUGUGUUUUCUGAAAUCUUUCUUCACUCAGCAGCAAAACUGCUUUUAUAAACCUAAUUCAUUAGUGCUUGCCAUGGUUCUUGCCUGCUUAAGGGCAGGUGAGAAAAUGUGUCCAGGUCCUUAAUCAGGUUUAGUUCUCACAACAGCCUUGAAUAGCCUCGUUACCCACUUUAUAGAUGGGAAAACAAAGGCCUGGAGAACAUGGGUCGCUGGUGCAAGGUCUCUCAGCAGAUAAGCAGCAGAGCUAAGUCAAGAAGAGAGAAAUACCUGGCUUUAAAAAAAUGAGAGGAAAUAGAAUGAGUGAUAAAGGGAUAAUGAACUAACAUUACUAUAUAUUUUAGAAAUGUAAAGUCCCACUUUGAGGCUUUUGUGUUCUUUCCCUGUUCUCUCUCAGGGUUGCUUUUUUGUCCACAUGAACUGAACUGAACUGAACUGCUAGUCAGAUAGUCCUGUUCCUGGUGGGAGAUUUAAUGUUCAAAAAGUGGUAACUAGGCAAGUUCUGGCAUGUUAAGCAGUGCAAAAUUGAUAAAUCUUAGAGUGUCCAGAAGAUAUUAAGUGGAGAGCAGGUGAAAAACACCAUCUUGUGUUUAAAUAAAUUUUUAUAUACUCACCA